rnacentral:rRNA from 1 species
CAUAUUAAUGUUAAUUUUCAAAUUACCAUGAUGAUAAUAUUUUACUAACAAAUUCUAUUUUUAAUAAAAGUUUCAGUUAUUAUGAGUAAAUAUAAAUUAAUGUAAUUCAUUUCGGCUUAAUAAAAUUGCACCUUGACCUGAUUUUUUAGAUUUAGGUCUAUUAUGAGAUUUGUUUUAAAAUAAUUUCGAGUAACGGUGGUAUACAGAUAAUUAUUAAGUAAGAUAUAUCGUGGGUUGUCGAUUAGGAAACAAAUUCCUUUGUAAAAGUUAAUACCGUCAAAUUUAUUUUGUUGGAGGUCUUUGAAUUAUUAUAUUUUAAUAGUAUAACAGGGUAUCUAAUCCUGGGAGCUAUUUUAAGGAGAAUUUUAUUAUUAUUUUUUUUGGAAAUUUCAUUUUUUUGAAAAAUAUGGUAAAAUUUAGUUAUUCAGGGAUAAUUAAUUUAUAAUUACGUAUAAC